rnacentral:rRNA from 1 species
CGAGCGGCGGACGGGUGAGUAACACGUGGGUAACCUGCCCAAGAGACUGGGAUAACACCUGGAAACAGAUGCUAAUACCGGAUAACAACACUAGACGCAUGUCUAGAGUUUGAAAGAUGGUUCUGCUAUCACUCUUGGAUGGACCUGCGGUGCAUUAGCUAGUUGGUAAGGUAACGGCUUACCAAGGCAAUGAUGCAUAGCCGAGUUGAGAGACUGAUCGGCCACAUUGGGACUGAGACACGGCCCAAACUCCUACGGGAGGCAGCAGUAGGGAAUCUUCCACAAUGGACGAAAGUCUGAUGGAGCAACGCCGCGUGAGUGAAGCAGGGUUUCGGCUCGUAAAGCUCUGUUGGUAGUGAAGAAAGAUAAGGGUAGUAACUGGCCUUUAUUUGACGGUAAUUACUUAGAAAGUCACGGCUAACUACGUGCCAGCAGCCGCGGUAAUACGUAGGUGGCAAGCGUUGUCCGGAUUUAUUGGGCGUAAAGCGAGUGCAGGCGGUUCAAUAUGUCUGAUGUGAAAGCCUUCGGCUCAACCGGAGAAUUGCAUCAGAAACUGUUGAACUUGAGUGCAGAAGAGGAGAGUGGAACUCCAUGUGUAGCGGUGGAAUGCG